rnacentral:rRNA from 1 species
GAUGAACGCUGGCGGCGUGCCUAAUACAUGCAAGUCGAGCGAACAGACGAGGAGCUUGCUCCUCUGACGUUAGCGGCGGAUGGGUGAGUAACACGUGGAUAACCUACCUAUAAGACUGGGAUAACUUCGGGAAACCGGAGCUAAUACCGGAUAAUAUAUUGAACCGCAUGGUUCAAUAGUGAAAGACGGUUUUGCUGUCACUUAUAGAUGGAUCCGCGCCGCAUUAGCUAGUUGGUAAGGUAACGGCUUACCAAGGCAACGAUGCGUAGCCGACCUGAGAGGGUGAUCGGCCACACUGGAACUGAGACACGGUCCAGACUCCUACGGGAGGCAGCAGUAGGGAAGCUUCCGCAAUGGGCGAAAGCCUGACGGAGCAACGCCGCGUGAGUGAUGAAGGUCUUCGGAUCGUAAAACUCUGUUAUUAGGGAAGAACAAAUGUGUAAGUAACUAUGCACGUCUUGACGGUACCUAAUCAGAAAGCCACGGCUAACUACGUG